rnacentral:rRNA from 1 species
CCUACGGGAGGCAGCAGUAGGGAAUUUUCGUCAAUGGGCGCAAGCCUGAACGAGCGAUGCCGCGUGAGUGAAGAAGGCCUUCGGGUCGUAAAGCUCUGUUGCGGGGGAAAAAAGGCAGCAUCAGGAAAUGGGUGCUGACUGAUGGUGCCCCGCCAGAAAGUCACGGCUAACUACGUGCCAGCAGCCGCGGUAAUACGUAGGUGGCGAGCGUUAUCCGGAAGGAUUGGGCGUAAGGGGUGCGCAGGCGGUCCUGCAAGUCUGGAGUGAAACGCAUGAGCUCAACUCAUGCAUGGCUUUGGAAACUGGAGGACUGGAGGGCAGGAGAGGGCGGUGGAACUCCAUGUGUAGCGGUAAAAUGCGUAGAUAUAUGGAAGAACACCAGUGGCGAAGGCGGCCGCCUGGCCUGUUGCUGACGCUGAGGCACGAAAGCGUGGGGAGCAAAUAGGAUUAGAUACCCCAGUAGUC